UACGGAAUGUGCAAACGUUAUUCGGAAUCACUGGGCUUAAAGAGUCCGUAGGCGGCAUGUUAGGUGAGGUGUGAAAUCCCCCGGCUUAACCGAGGAAUUGCGCUUCAAACCGGCGUGCUUGAGGAAGAUAGAGGUGGGCGGAACUGAUGGUGGAGCGGUGAAAUGCGUUGAUAUCAUCAGGAACACCGGAGGCGAAGGCGGCCCACUGGGUCUUUUCUGACGCUGAGGGACGAAAGCUAGGGGAGCGAACAGG
rnacentral:rRNA from 1 species